rnacentral:rRNA from 1 species
AGGUAAUAAUAAACUUAUAUAAAACCAAAAAAUUAUGGCGGCAUUUUUUCUUAUUAGAGGAAUCUGUUUUUUAAUCGACAUUCCACGAUAAAUUUUACUUUGUAUACAAAUUUUAUAUAUCUCCGUUUUAAGAAUUUAAUAAAAAUUUUUAUUCAAAACAAUUUUAAAAAAAUAGGUAAAGGUGUAGACUACUAUAAAGAUAAAAUGGAUUACACUUAAUAAUAUUAAAGGAUAAAUAUCUAAAUUUAUUUUAAAAAAGAAUUUAUAAGUAAUUUUAAAAUAAUAUUUUAUUUUGAAUGAGAUUACAAAUGUGC